AACGAACGCUGGCGGCAGGCUUAACACAUGCAAGUCGAACGCCCCGCAAGGGGAGUGGCAGACGGGUGAGUAACGCGUGGGAACAUACCCUUUCCUGCGGAAUAGCUCUGGGAAACUGGAAUUAAUGCCGCAUACGCCCUACGGGGGAAAGAUUUAUCGGGGAAGGAUUGGCCCGCGUUGGAUUAGCUAGUUGGUGGGGUAAAGGCCUACCAAGGCGACGAUCCAUAGCUGGUCUGAGAGGAUGAUCAGCCACAUUGGGACUGAGACACGGCCCAAACUCCUACGGGAGGCAGCAGUGGGGAAUAUUGGACAAUGGGCGCAAGCCUGAUCCAGCCAUGCCGCGUGAGUGAUAAAGGCCUUAGGGUUGUAAAGCUCUUUCACCGAUGAAGAUAAUGACGGUAGUCGGAGAAGAAGCCCCGGCUAACUUCGUGCCAGCCGCCGCCGUAA
rnacentral:rRNA from 1 species